ACUUACGGCCAUACCAGCCUGAGGGUGCCUGAUCUCGUCUGAUCUCGGAAGCUAAGCAGGGUCGGGCCUGGUUUGUACUUGGAUGGAAGACCGCCUGGGAAUACCAGGUGCUGUAAGCU
ensembl:rRNA 5S_rRNA 5S ribosomal RNA